GUUCUGGAAAGACCCUUGCUUUUCUGAUAUCUGCUAUGGAGUUGUUACAUCAAAUCUGAACGGGGGUAAUUGUCAACUGCCCAACUAGGGAACUUGCCAUACAGACACAUGCAAUGGCAAAGGACCUUCUUAAUCAUCAUUCACAGACUCUUGGCUUGGUUAUUGGUGGUGCAGCUCGCAGGGAAAAAGCAGAGCGUAUUGUGAAAGGAGUAAAUCUGUUAGUAGCAACCCCUGGCCGACUUCUUGACCACCUACAGAACACUAAGGGAUUCAUAUAUAAAAAUCUAAAGGCAGAAGAGUUCUAGUGCUAAAGGUGAACGGUUGAAAGAAGCUACUAAUAUCAAGUCUCUUUCAACAUUAGGAUUUGUUCUCCCUCCUUUUCUUGUCUUGGGCCUCAUUUUGCUUCCCUCUUCAACAUGAUUUUUCUUGGUUUAAUUAUGUUAACUAAUUUGGAAACAUUUACAUAAAAUCAGGAGGAGAUUGAUAGAUAAUAAUAUAAAGUGUCUUUCUUGCUAUGCGGCAAAGAGGCAACCUUUGAAAUUUUUUGUAGAAGUUGGAAUUAGAGCUAUCCUAGGCAAAAAUUAGUGCUAGGUGCUAACUUUAUAAUUGUUAUUAUGAAGUAAUAAAAUUAGUUUAAUUCAUGCAGGUAUGAGCUGCUGUCUUAUUUUAUUGGGAGGGAGUAUUUUAUCCAUGGUUAUAAUCCAAUAUAUGCUCUUUCUACUGAUGUUGUUUCAAGCUUGGUUGCUCUAAGAAGGGAAGCUUCUGAAGACGAAAUCCAAGAUACUAGGAAUUUUCUAAUAUAAAGAUAUGGGCGGCAUAAGCCGGGUGUUGAUGCAAUUGAAUCAACCCAUGAUGGUGCACUCGCAAGAAGAUAUUUGGGUAAAUUUUGUACCUUUAGAACUUAAAGAGUUUUUUUUUUU